rnacentral:rRNA from 1 species
AGUGAACGCUGGCGGUAGGCCUAACACAUGCAAGUCGAACGGCAGCACAGUAAGAGCUUGCUCUUACGGGUGGCGAGUGGCGGACGGGUGAGGAAUACAUCGGAAUCUACUUUUUCGUGGGGGAUAACGUAGGGAAACUUACGCUAACACCGCAUACGACCUACGGGUGAAAGCAGGGGAUCUUCGGACCUUGCGCGAUUGAAUGAGCCGAUGUCGGAUUAGCUAGUUGGCGGGGUAAAGGCCCACCAAGGCGACGAUCCGUAGCUGGUAUGAGAGGAUGAUCAGCCACACUGGAACUGAGACACGGUCCAGACUCCUACGGGAGGCAGCAGUGGGGAAUAUUGGACAAUGGGCGCAAGCCUGAUCCAGCCAUACCGCGUGGGUGAAGAAGGCCUUCGGGUGGUAAAGCCCUUUUGUUGGGAAAGAAAAGCAGCAGGUUAAUACCCCGCUGUUCUGACGGUACCCAAAGAAUAAGCACCGGCUAACUUCGUG